rnacentral:rRNA from 1 species
GUCCACGCCCUAAACUAUGUCAACUGGUUGUUGGGAAUUCACUUUCUCAGUAACGAAGCUAACGCGUGAAGUUGACCGCCUGGGGAGUACGGCCGCAAGGUUAAAACUCAAAUGAAUUGACGGGGCCCGCACAAGCGGGGAGCAUGUGGUUUAAUUCGAUGCAACGCGAAAACCUUACCCACCUUUGACAUGUACGGAAUCCUUUAGAGAUAGAGGAGUGCUCGAAAGAGAGCCGUAACACAGGUGCUGCAUGGCUGUCGU